CCUACGGGGGGCAGCAGUGAGGAAUAUUGGUCAAUGGGCGUAAGCCUGAACCAGCCAAGUCGCGUGAGGGAUGAAGGUUCUAUGGAUCGUAAACCUCUUUUAUAAGGGAAUAAAGUGUGGGACGUGUCCUAUUUUGUAUGUACCUUAUGAAUAAGGACCGGAUAACUCCGUGCCAGCAGCCGCGGUAAUACGGAGGAUCCGAGCGUUAUCCGGAUUUAUUGGGUUUAAAGGGUGCGUAGGGGGCCUUUUAAGUCAGCUGUGAAAGUCUGUGGCUCAACCAUAGAAUGGCCGUUGAAACUGGGGAGCUUGAGGAUGUUUGAGGAAGGCGGAAUGCGUGGUGUAGCGGUGAAAUGCGUAGAUAUCACGCAGAACCCCGAUUGCGAAGGC
rnacentral:rRNA from 1 species